UGCAAGUCGUACGAGAGUUUUUAACUCUAGUGGCGGACGGGUGAGUAACACGUGAGAAUUUGCCUUUAGGAGGGGGAUAACAAUUGGAAACGAAUGCUAAUACCCCAUAUGCUUUCGAGUGAAAUGGAUUUAUAUUUAUCCGCCUAGAGAGAAGCUCGCGGCUGAUUAGCUUGUUGGUAAGGUAAGAGCUUACCAAGGCGACGAUCAGUAUCUGGUUUGAGAGGACGAUCAGACACACUGGAACUGAGACACGGUCCAGACUCCUACGGGAGGCAGCAGUGGGGAAUUUUCCGCAAUGGGCGAAAGCCUGACGGAGCAAUACCGCGUGAGGGAAGACUGCCUAUGGGUUGUAAACCUCCUUUUUCAGGGAGGAAUCAAUGACGUGUACCUGAAGAAUAAGCAUCGGCUAACUCCGUGCCAGCAGCCGCGGUAAGACGGAGGAUGCAAGUGUUAUCCGGAAUCACUGGGCGUAAAGCGUCUGUAGGUGGUUUAAUAAGUCAACUGUUAAAUCUCGAGGCUCAACUUCAAAAUCGCAGUCGAAACUAUUAGACUAGAGUAUAGUAGAGGUAAAGGGAAUUUCCAGUGGAGCGGUGAAAUGCGUAGAUAUUGGAAAGAACACCGAUGGCGAAAGCACUUUACUGGGCUAUUACUAACACUCAGAGACGAAAGCUAGGGUAGCAAAUGGGAUUAGAUACUCCAGUAGUCCUAGCCGUAAACAAUGGAUACUAGAUGUUGAACAGAUCGACCUGUGCAGUAUCAAAGCUAACGCGUUAAGUAUCCCGCCUGGGAAGUAUGCUCGCAAGAGUGCUCAAAGGAAUUGACGGGGGCCCGCACAAGCGGUGGAGCAUGUGGUUUAAUUCGAUGCAACGCGAAGAACCUUACCGGGUUUGACAUGAUACGAAUUUCUUUGAAAGAAGAAAGUGCCGUUUGGAA
rnacentral:rRNA from 1 species